GUGUCAGCAGCCGCGGUAAUACGGAGGGAGCUAGCGUUGUUCGGAUAUACUGGGCGUAAAGCGCACGUAGGCGGCGCGGUAAGUCAGGGGUGAAAUCCCGGAGCUCAACUCCGGAACUGCCUUUGAAACUGCUGCACUAGAAUCCUGGAGAGGCGAGUGGAAUUCCGAGUGUAGAGGUGAAAUUCGUAGAUAUUCGGAAGAACACCAGUGGCGAAGGCGACUCGCUGGACAGGUAUUGACGCUGAGGUGCGAAAGCGUGGGGAGCAAACAGGAUUAGAUACCCUCGUAGUCC
rnacentral:rRNA from 1 species